rnacentral:lncRNA from 13 species
GCCCCUGAGGAUCCGAGGAGGUCUGGGAGCUGGCUUUGAACUUCUGCCCACGCUGGAACUUGAGGAGAAGAGGGAGAUAAAAUUUGGAAAUAGGGAAAAGAGAAAGAAGAGGAAAAGAUGCCUGAAUAUA